rnacentral:rRNA from 1 species
CGAACGGCAGCACGGGGGCAACCCUGGUGGCGAGUGGCGAACGGGUGAGUAAUACAUCGGAACGUGCCCGGUCGUGGGGGAUAACGUAGCGAAAGUUACGCUAAUACCGCAUACGAUCUGAGGAUGAAAGCGGGGGACCUUCGGGCCUCGCGCGAUCGGAGCGGCCGAUGUCAGAUUAGGUAGUUGGUGGGGUAAAGGCCUACCAAGCCGACGAUCUGUAGCUGGUCUGAGAGGACGACCAGCCACACUGGGACUGAGACACGGCCCAGACUCCUACGGGAGGCAGCAGUGGGGAAUUUUGGACAAUGGGCGCAAGCCUGAUCCAGCCAUUCCGCGUGCAGGACGAAGGCCUUCGGGUUGUAAACCG